rnacentral:lncRNA from 1 species
UGCUAAGUGUUAGUGCAGGAUGAAGACCUAUCGUUAGAGUUAUGAAAAACCACAGCAGCACAAGCAGCUAUAAUGAUUUAAGAGAAUAUGACUGCUGCUUUUCUCUCAUCUAAGAGGAUAGAGCUAACUGACAGAGAAAUGGAAGAUAAGAUUUGCCUGUCCUGACCCAGUCUAAAAAGUAGAAGUAACAUAGAAAGAGCAACAACAGGGGGAAGCUAAAGAGAUCAUGAUAAGAAUCUUGUAAGACUUGGGAAAAGAAGUACUAAUUCAGAGGUCCUCAUGGCAGAAUUUUACAGAGGUAAAAUAACUGCUCUGGAAAAGAAGGCAAGAAAGUAAAACAAGGCAAUUUCACCACAGCCAUCAUCAGGAACUCAGGGGCAAUUUGACUUAAAGCAGCUUGAAAUUUUAAAAGAAAAACAGAAAAUGCAAUCUGUUUUCUCAUUUGGUCUGUUUCCUCUUUAAACAAGCACACUCUAACUCUCUAAAGAUUUCCCCCUAAAAAGAAAACACAUUGCUCAGCUUGACCUAUAAUUUAAAUCACAAUUAAGCUUCCAGUUAGAAUGUAUCUUCAUCAUAAAUCUACUAUAAAUCCCCCAGUGUUCUGUUAAAUUGCCUUAGCCUCUUAAACAGCAGGACCCCAGUUUUAUU